rnacentral:rRNA from 1 species
AGUGAACGCUGGCGGUAGGCCUAACACAUGCAAGUCGAACGGCAGCACAGUAAGAGCUUGCUCUUACGGGUGGCGAGUGGCGGACGGGUGAGGAAUACAUCGGAAUCUACUUUUUCGUGGGGGAUAACGUAGGGAAACUUACGCUAAUACCGCAUACGACCUACGGGUGAAAGCAGGGGAUCUUCGGACCUUGCGCGAUUGAAUGAGCCGAUGUCGGAUUAGCUAGUUGGCGGGGUAAAGGCCCACCAAGGCGACGAUCCGUAGCUAGUCUGAGAGGAUGAUCAGCCACACUGGAACUGAGACACGGUCCAGACUCCUACGGGAGGCAGCAGUGGGGAAUAUUGGGCAAUGGGCGCAAGCCUGAUCCAGCCAUACCGCGUGGGUGAAGAAGGCCUUCGGGUUGUAAAGCCCUUUUGUUGGGAAAGAAAAGCAGCAGGUUAAUACCCCGCUGUUCUGACGGUACCCAAAGAAUAAGCACCGGCUAACUUCGUG